rnacentral:pre_miRNA from 1 species
GCCUCGAUGAGCCAACUAUACAGAUAUCUGUAAAGCUGGUUUAUCGAGGCAG